GUGAAUCAUCGAAUUUUUGAACGCAAAUUGCACUCUCCUCAGAGAGUAUGCCUGUUUGAGGGUCAGCCUAUAAAAAAUCGACAUCGUUGCUGUCUCGCGGCGGCGUUCGUCGGAAAAGGGGUCAUGUUUAAUCUUUAGGUUUUAAGGGACUUAAAAUUUUCUUUUUGGUUCCAUUAACGUUUCUAAGAUUUAUUUCUUUACACGUUUAAGGUAUCGAUUUUUAUUAGAGGUGACAGCAUAUCGGAUCUGUC
rnacentral:misc_RNA from 1 species